rnacentral:rRNA from 1 species
GUGAGUAGUUCAGAGUUUGAUCCUGGCUCAGGACGAACGCUGGCGGCGUGCCUAACACAUGCAAGUCGAGCGGAGACAUGAGGGAGCUUGCUCCCGAAUGUUUUAGCGGCGGACGGGUGAGUAACGCGUGAGCAACCUUUCUCUCAGUGGGGAAUAACACAGGGAAACCUGUACUAAUACCGCAUGAGACCACAAUGUCGCAUGACAUAGGGGUCAAAGAUUUAUUGCUGAGAGGUGGGCUCGCGUCCGAUUAGAUAGUUGGUGAGGUAACGGCUCACCAAGUCGACGAUCGGUAGCCGACCUGAGAGGGUGAUCGGCCACAUUGGGACUGAGACACGGCCCAA